GGGCGGUUGGCGCAGUGGUAGCGCACUUCCCUGACACGGAAGGGGUCACAAGUUCGAAUCUUGUAUCGCCCC
rnacentral:tRNA from 1 species